rnacentral:rRNA from 1 species
CACCGCCCGUCACACCAUGGAAGUCUACUGCACCAGAAGCAGGUAGCCUGACCGCAAGGGGGCGCCUACCACGGUGUGGUCGAUGACGUGGGGUG